UUGAACGCUGGCGGAAUGCUUUACACAUGCAAGUCGAGCGGCAGCGCGGGGGCAACCCUGGCGGCGAGCGGCGAACGGGUGAGUAAUACAUUGGAACGUACCCAGUUGUGGGGGAUAGCCCGGCGAAAGCCGGAUUAAUACCGCAUAAGUCCUGAGGGAGAAAGCGGGGGACCGUAAGGCCUCGCGCGAUUGGAGCGGCCGAUGUUCGAUUAGCUAGUUGGUGGGGUAAAGGCCUACCAAGGCGACGAUCGAUAGCUGGUCUGAGAGGACGACCAGCCGCACUGGAACUGAGACACGGUCCAGACUCCUACGGGAGGCAGCAGUGGGGAAUUUUGGACAAUGGGCGCAAGCCUGAUCCAGCCAUGCCGCGUGAGUGAAGAAGGCCUUCGGGUUGUAAAGCUCUUUCAGACGGAAAGAAAUCGGGCGCGUGAAUAGCGUGCCUGGAUGACGGUACUGUCAGAAGAAGCACCGGCUAACUACGU
rnacentral:rRNA from 1 species